UACAGAGGGUGCGAGCGUUAAUCGGAAUUACUGGGCGUAAAGCGCGCGUAGGCGGCUUUGCAAGUCGGGUGUGAAAUCCCCAGGCUUAACCUGGGAACUGCAUUCGAGACUGCAUUGCUAGAGUAUGGGAGAGGGAAGUGGAAUUUCAGGUGUAGCGGUGAAAUGCGUAGAGAUGUGGAGGAAUACCGAUGGCGAAGGCAGCCCCCUGGGAUAACACUGACGCUCAUGCACGAAAGGCGUGGGGAGCAAACAGG
rnacentral:rRNA from 1 species